rnacentral:rRNA from 1 species
AACGAACGCUGGCGGCAGGCUUAACACAUGCAAGUCGAGCGCCCCGCAAGGGGAGCGGCAGACGGGUGAGUAACGCGUGGGAAUCUACCCAUCUCUACGGAAUAACGCAGGGAAACGUGUGCUAAUACCGCAUACGUCCUUCGGGAGAAAGAUUUAUCGGAGAUGGAUGGGCCCGCGUUGGAUUAGCUAGUUGGUGGGGUAAAGGCCUACCAAGGCGACGAUCCAUAGCUGGUCUGAGAGGAUGAUCAGCCACACUGGGACUGAGACACGGCCCAGACUCCUACGGGGGGCAGCAGUGGGGAAUAUUGGACAAUGGGCGCAAGCCUGAUCCAGCCAUGCCGCGUGAGUGAUGAAGGCCCUAGGGUUGUAAAGCUCUUUCACCGGUGAAGAUAAUGACGGUAACCGGAGAAGAAGCCCCGGCUAACUUCGUGCCAGCCGCCGCCGUAACAC